CUAGAAAAUCAUGAUUGUAUUUAGUGAUAUGCUUUUAUGCUCCAAAUGAUGACUGAUUGAAGUCUCGUUCGUCUGAAACUCUUUGAAGAACACUUAAGCAUGGUGGAGUUCUGAUGGAGCCUAGUUCUGGAAAACUAGUGAAGCUGUCUGGCUAGAAUAACUACUUAUGCCUGUUUUCUGUUAUCUACAGAUGAUGACCACUGAAGGCUGGACUUCGAUGCUGGAAUAUAAUCCCUGCAGACAUGGGUCAACUGUAAUACCAGAAUGACUGACAGGGCCAACAUGGACUCUGCAUUCCUAGUCACUGCAGGUAACUGCUUCUUUAUGUCUACUAUUGACCGAUCCUAAAAUAGAUGGGGUCAUUAAUAUUGCAAUUGAUGGCUCUACAAAACUUGGCUAUACUAGAUUUAAGAGCUUUUACUUU